rnacentral:rRNA from 1 species
UACAGAGGGUGCAAGCGUUGUUCGGAAUUAUUGGGCGUAAAGCGCGUGUAGGCGGCUUUGCUAGUCGGGUGUGAAAGCCCUCAGCUCAACUGAGGAAGUGCGCCCGAAACUGCAGAGCUUGAGUACCGGAGAGGAUGGCGGAAUUCCCCAAGUAGAGGUGAAAUUCGUAGAUAUGGGGAGGAACACCGGUGGCGAAGGCGGCCAUCUGGACGGAUACUGACGCUGAGACGCGAAAGCGUGGGUAGCAAACAGG